CUGCAGAGCUAGGGAGUGGGAGAGGUAGACGGUACUCGGGAGGAAGUGGUAAAAUGCUUUGAUCUCUCGAUGACCACCUGUGGCGAAGGCGGUCUACCAGAACACGUCCGACGGUGAGGGAUGAAAGCUGGGGGAGCAAACCGGAUUAGAUACCCGGGUAGUCCCAGCUGUAAACUAUGCAAACUCAGUGAUGCAUUGGCUUGUGGCCAAUGCAGUGUUGCAGGGAAGCCGUUAAGUUUGCCGCCUGGGAAGUACGUACGCAAGUAUGAAACUUAAAGGAAUUGGCGGGGGAGCACCACAAGGGGUGAAGCCUGCGGUUCAAUUGGAGUCAACGCCAGAAAUCUUACCCGGAGAGACAGCAGAAUGAAGGUCAAGCUGAAGACUUUACCAGACAAGCUGAGAGGUGGUGCAUGGCCGUCGCCAGCUCGUGCCGUGAGA
rnacentral:rRNA from 1 species